rnacentral:siRNA from 1 species
CACGGUCUUGGCUCAACCCGCC